GACCUUAUCGUCAAACUGGUUAAGACACAGCAUUUUCACUGCUGUAAUCCUGGUUCAAGCCCAGGUAAGGUUA
rfam:Taphrina deformans PYCC 5710, WGS project CATL01000000 data, contig: scaffold00003, organelle: mitochondrion